rnacentral:ncRNA from 1 species
AAACUCACCAGGUCCAGACACAAUAAGGAUUGACAGAUUGAGAGCUCUUUCUUGUUAUUUUGUGGGUGGUGGUGCAUGGCCGUUCUUAGUUGGUGGAGUGAUUUGUCUGCUUAAUUGCGAUAACGAACGAGACCUUAACCUACUAAAUAGUGGUGCUAGCAUUGCUGGUAUCCACUCUAGAGGACUAUCGGUUSAARCCAGRUCGUAAUARSUSGURKAMUGUAUKYUWUAYKWWKUAUACGUAAAUGGCAGUUUCUAGGGAAUGAUGAUGGCAAGUUCCAGAGAGGCAGCGUAAAAGGAUGAGGCUACUGGGAAGAAGAAAGAGGAAAAGUGCAAGAUGAAUAGCCAGUGCAAUAUAUACAUGUAUACUUAACAGAUAUGG